UACAGAGGGUGCUAGCGUUGUUCGGAAUCAUUGGGCGUAAAGGGCGUGUAGGCGGUUUGUUAAGUCAUGUGUGAAAUCCCUCGGCUCAACCGGGGAACGACGCAUGAAACUGGCAAGCUAGAGUACCAAAGAGGGGGGUGGAAUUCCCGGUGUAGUGGUGAAAUGCGUAGAUAUCGGGAGGAACACCAGUGGCGAAGGCGGCUAUCUGGCCUGCAACUGACGCUGAGGCACGAAGGCUAGGGGAGCGAACAGG
rnacentral:rRNA from 1 species